AAUUUAAAUGAAAGGGUGAAAUCUGGUCUACCUGAUUUAAGCUAGGCAUGCACGGGUCCUGGAGUGACUAAGACAGGGUUGGGAGGGAUGUAUGGAGGAGGAGAGGUGACUAAGACGGGUGUGGGAGGGCUGUAUGGAGGAGCGGAAGCGAUGACUGGAACGGGCUGAGGGAAGAUAGGUCUGCAGCCGUUGGUACAUUUGUGUGGCUUUUCAAAUCCAUGGCGGAAGAAAGUAAAGCCCAAUACCAAGCCCACCAUUACUAGGACUGAUACAAUGAAGAUGAAGAUCUUUGUUGCUUUGCCCACAUAACACAUUGUCUUCUCUCUCUCUCUCUCUCUCUCUCUCUCUGAAAGAAAA